rnacentral:rRNA from 1 species
GAUGAACGCUGGCGGCGUGCCUAAUACAUGCAAGUCGAGCGAACAGACGAGGAGCUUGCUCCUCUGACGUUAGCGGCGGACGGGUGAGUUACACGUGGAUAACCUCCCUAUAAGACUGGGAUAACUUCGGGAAACCGGAGCUAAUACCGGCUAAUAUCUUGAACCGCAUGGUUCAAUAGUGAAAGACGGUUUUGCUGUCACUUAUAGAUGGAUCCGCGCCGCAUUAGCUAGUUGGUAAGGUAACGGCUUACCAAGGCAACGAUCCGUAGCCGACCUGAGAGGGUGAUCGGCCACACUGGAACUGAGACACGGUCCAGACUCCUACGGGAGGCAGCAGUAGGGAAUUUUCGGCAAUGGGCGAAAGCCUGACGGAGCAACGCCGCGUGAGUGAUGAAGGUCUUCGGAUCGUAAAACACUGUUGUUAGGGAAGAAAAAAUGUGUAAGUAACUAUGCACGUCUUGACGGUACCGGAUCAGAAAGCCACGGCUAACUACGUG